GAUCGUUGGUCCCGGCGCCUGAG
rnacentral:piRNA from 1 species